rnacentral:rRNA from 1 species
UGAAUACGAGAUGCUACGGCGUCGAAGCAGUCUAUGUCAUACUUCCAAGAAAAGCUUGCACUGUCAUAAACAAAUAAUGCCUGUACCAUAACCGACACAGGUGGGUAGGUAGAGUAUACUAAGGGGCGCGAGAUAACUCUCUCUAAGGAACUCGGCAAAAUGACUCCGUAACUUCGGGAGAAGGAGUGCCUUAUUUUAUAAGGUUGCAAUAACAAGAUCCAAGCAACUGUUUACCAAAAACACAGGUCUCCGCUAAGUCGUAAGACGAUGUAUGGGGGCUGACGCCUGCCCAGUGCCAGAAGGUUAAAGAAGUUGGUUAGCAUCCGCGAAGCUGAUAACUGAAGCCCUGGUGAACGGCGGCCGUAACUAUAACGGUCCUAAGGUAGCGAAAUUCCUUGUCGGGUAAGUUCCGACCCGCACGAAAGGCGUAAUGAUUUGGAUACUGUCUCAGAGAGGGGCUCGGUGAAAUAGACUUGUCUGUGAAGAUGCGGACUACCUGCACCAGGACAGAAAGACCCUAUGAAGCUUUACUGUAACUUGAAAUUGAAAUUGGACUUUACUUGCGCAGUAUAGGUGGGAGGCGUUGAGAAUAUUCUUGCGGGAAUGUUGGAGCCAUCAGUGAGAUACCACUCUUGUAAUGUUAGAUUUCUAACUUUGUAUCAUUAUCUGGUCAAAGGACAGUUUCAGGCGGGCAGUUUGACUGGGGCGGUCGCCUCCCAAACGGUAACGGAGGCGCACAAAGGUUUCCUCUGAACGGGUAGAAAUCGUAUCUAGAGUGUAAAGGCAUAAGGAAGCUUGACUGUGAGACCUACAAGUCGAGCAGGGACGAAAGUCGGUCUUAGUGAUCUGACGGUGCUGAGUGGAAAGGCCGUCACUCAACGGAUAAAAGUUACUCUAAGGAUAACAGGCUGAUCUCCCCCAAGAGUUCACAUCGACGGGGAGGUUUGGCACCUCGAUGUCGGCUCAUCGCAUCCUGGGGCGGUAGUACGUCCCAAGGGUUGGGCUGUUCGCCCAUGAAAGCGGUACGCGAGCUGGGUUCAGAACGUCGUGAGACAGUUCGGUCCAUAUCCGGUGUAGGCGUUAGAAUAUUGAGAGGAGCCUUCUUUAGUACGAGAGGACCGAGAAGGACAUACCUCUGGUGUACCAGUCAACGUGCCAACGGUAAACGCUGGGUAGCUAUGUAUGGAGUGGAUAACCGCUGAAAGCAUCUAAGUGGGAAGCCCACCUCAAGAUAU